GGUCCUGCCUGGGCCUCUGCACACUCAGACCAACAGUAAAAACUGCCAUGAUUUGCACUGAUAACCCCAGGAUGCCUCGCUUAUCUGUCAUCGGGGUUUGUCCACAGAGAAUGCUGCCAAAAGGGCCACUUCCUGAACACUGCCUGCCUAGGAGGGAAUCUGAUGGCCUUUUUUUCUUCAUCUCCAUUGUGAUGGAAAACAAGGGGGAGGAGAAGGAGCCAGAGAUGGUAGCAGAGGCUGCAGAGGGAAGUGAUCAGCUCCCGGCUCAAGCAAGGGGCAGAUCCUCAGCUACAUCCCAUGGGGGCGUUGGCCUGUCGUGGUCGGAUGGCCUUCCGUGUUGCAGACCUUCUGCAGCAUCUGAGCAGCAGAAGUGGAAGAGGAGGGGUGAAGGAUGGACGGGAAAACAGGUGUGAUUUGAGCAAACAUGAAGACCCAAGACAAAAAGCCCAGGGUGGACUGAUUGACGGCUGAUCCAUGACGUAUUUUUCUGGGCACGUUCCAGUGCAACCCUUGCCUCACCUAAACAGUUAAGCUGCACAGCAAUCCUGCAACCUGUAAUCUCCAAAAGAACAUGGACUUUGCCUUUUUGUCACUGUGUCUCCAUCACCUCGCCCAGAUACCCACGUUCAAGCUCGGAGGAGCCCCUGUAUUGUGUGACUCCUUUUCCCCAAUGCACACCCACCAUCCUCGCUGGUACUGCAGUAGAUUGGACCAUGGAUGGACGUUGGAUCCAAAUGGAAUUAAUUCAAAGGAGACCAUAACUGCUGUGAAUAAUGCGAAUCAAGUAUGUCUGCAGACAAGAGAAUGAAGCAAAUUCAGAGGAAAGCAGAUGACAGACUGAGCUGCUCCAGGGAGGCAGAGAGGAGACGUCUUCUCCCUGGUGGCUCCCAGUUUCAAGCUCAGUUCCCUUGAGAACUGGCUGAAAUUCAUCUCAAUGGCAUCUCAAUAUUUUUACAAACUUUAUUUAAGCUUGCUUGAAUUUCCUUUCCUUGCAAACAACAAAGUUUCGACUGAAGGUGUACUCCUUAUAUUACUACACUUAAGGGGCUCCCUUGGAAAGAGGCAUUGGUCUCUCCAUUUGAGGCCUGGCCCAAGGUCACAAUGAAGUCCAUGCCUAAUGGCCUCUAUGGCUGGAAUGGCCCCUUCCUGAGUCAGGUGCUGCAUCAGAAAACCAAACCUCCCCUCAUCUCCGGGAGGUCUGUGUUCAGACUAAAUGCUCAAUGAUACUUGAAAAGAGAGUUUGGGGACUUAAGCUUUAAAAAAACAAACCCAAACUCUGGUUUCAGUGUGAGUUAUCGAUGACAAGUACAUUACAGCAACUUGCUUUGGCUUCUAAUUUGAAGGAUCCCAGUUUUAGGAAUAGUUUGUUUUCCUCGUUGGGAGACAAACACAUUUUUGAAAACAAGUUCCAGUCUGAACACCCCUUAGGAAGGGACUGUUUAUUUGGCAAAGCAGUGUGUCCCCACAUGGGAAAUUAUACAUAAAGAGAAGCACCAGACUGUAGAAAAGAAAAAAGUUUUAAUUUUCUCUAAGGUUGUGACCUGCUUGAGGGAACAGGUUCUUCCCCACAUACUUGGUUUGAUGGCCACAGAAAGUACAUAUUGUGAGACAGGAAACCAUCAAAAUCCUAGAGGAGAACAGAGGCAGAAACCUCUUUGACCUCGGCCUCAGCAACUUCUUAUUAGACACGUCGCCAGAGGC